GAUGCCCAAUGAGGAUAAUACUUUGCCUUCAUCACCUUGGCACAUAAGGUCUAGGUAAAUCAAUAAGCGCCAUGCCUAUUUUACCAAAAGCGGUCAAUUAAAUAACCUUAGAUCAUGGAAACCCAUACCGCCCUCACCUUCUAGUCUCGCCAGUUUGUCUCAUGCCAUACAAUGGGUUUUACUCUUGUCCUUUUUCUCUUCACCCACCAAAAAAUCUUGAUGAGUUGAGGUAACCCAUCGCAAAGUGAAGCCGGAAAUUUGAAAAUUCUCAUGGCAUACACUGGAAGAACUUGCAUAACUAUCUUAAUUUGAAUUUCCUUGGUCCCUCUAGAGGCAUAUUUUUCAAUCCAGUCAAAUAGCCAUUUCAAAGAUUUAUCUUUGGUAGACUAAAAUUUACCAUCUUUCAUUCUACCUUCUGACAUAGGUAACCCAAGAUAUUUUAAGACAUUAAAACUGAGCACUAAUCGAGCCCUCUCAGGCUAUUAGCAUCUCAAACCAUUGGAUGCCUGUUGUGGAUGUUCGUGGCCAUUAGAUUUCACACUAAUCACGACGGGGCAUUUUUUUGUUGAGCGUCGAGCGCUGCAGGUUAGGGCUGUUGCUCCCGUAACAAAUUCGGGCAUCUGAUGUUAACUUCGGCCAAAUGGGCUUGGGGCCUUGGGCAAAGCCAUGUUGUAGCCCCAGAGCCACGGUCACCCCUCCUUCCACGUUUGACGGUUGCGCGAACGAACCAGUGCUCUGGACAUCAGCACUACGCCCCUAUGGAGAUGACGAAGAUUCGAGGGAUGGGUUCACAGCGAAAGAUGAUUUUUGUGGUGCAUAGACAACGCCUUAUCUUCCUCUGCACCGUAGGAUGAGCAGAUCCAUCUUCCACAGCGACGGCGGCAGGGAGGUGCUGGUUCUUUUCUGAGUGCUAUAGCUAUGCCUUCCCCUGCCGCUCCCCUUCCCUCAUCUCCUCAGUCUCUGCUCCCCACAUGCCUGCAAGUAACACUCCAGUCGCCUCCUCCGGCGUGUGUACUGCUCCUUUUAUCCGCUGAUUUGGUCCAUCCAUAUGUUCUCGGAUCCACCAAUUUCUUACCGAGGGAAAAGUGCAGAAAGUAUAUAUUGAUUCCCCUGUAGUAUGUUUCUAGGACCAUUUAUUUAUUUAUCCUCAAAACCACCGGACCACGGUGGGAACUUGAUCUUCCAAA